CAGUAGCCACGGUAAUACGAAGGGUGCAAGCAUUACUCGGAAUUACUGGGCGUAAAGCGUGCGUAGGUGGUGGUUUAAGUCCGUUGUGAAAGCCCUGGGCUCAACCUGGGAAUUGCAAUGGAUACUGGAUCACUAGAGUGUGGUAGAGGAUAGUGGAAUUUCCGGUGUAGCAGUGAAAUGCGUAGAGAUCGGAAGGAACAUCUGUGGCGAAAGCACUCUGCUGGGCCGACACUGACACUGAGAGGCGAAAGCUAGGGGAGCAAAUGGGAUUAGAUACCCCCGUAGUCCCUGUCCUUAUACA
rnacentral:rRNA from 1 species